CUAAUUAGAGAAUAAAUAGAAAUCAACUCGCAUUUCAUACAACUCUCUCUAUCGUCUCUCAAACACUAUUUUAGUUUAUUUAGCUGCGAGUUCUUCUGUUCAAGAACGGUUAUGAAGAUCCCCUUCAUAUUUUGGAUCUUAUCACACCACAAACUUUAAUAUAUUUUUAAAACAUGACUAGCUAGUAUAGAAGAAAAAGAGUAAAUCAAACAAGAUGGGUUAUAAAUCGCACAAAACAAACAAUAAAUCAUAUUUAGAGAUGAAAAAAAUCAACUCGCGAAGGUGCACAUACCUGAGAUUCGAGUAAGAUAGAAAACAAAGAUUGAGUUGAGAUCGCUUCUAGGCAGACCUGUGCUUUUUCUAUUUUGAGAAAACCCAGAUGAAUCGUUGAGAGCUAUAAUCUACGCUGAGAUUGCUGCUAGGCAGAUGCUGCUAGGGUUUUCUGAGUCGGGACACUGUUUUGAAAAACAAAGCGUCUUUUGUUUUGUUUUUUAGAAUUUUAGUUACACUACUUAUGUUUUGGCUCUAUGUUUUGGUGAAACUUGAACUUUUUUUAAUAUUAAAGUUGCCGCACUUUCUCUCCACUAUACCCCUAAAUUAUAAUUUGGGACCAUUUAUUAAUUUCUUUAGAGACUAGAUUUAGUACCAUCACAAAAAGAUACAUAAUUAAGGACAAAAAUAAAAUCUCGUCCCAAUAGAUAUACUUUUAGAGACGGGAUUAUUAACUCGUCCCUAAACGUUGGUCUUAAAUAAAGCUUUUUCUUGUAGUGUUA
rnacentral:lncRNA from 1 species